rnacentral:lncRNA from 1 species
UGUACAUGAAGUCCAUGGUGACAUCCUCCACUUCCAGACUGAAAUAGGAAGUGGUUAAAACAAAUGGAAUGUUGUAAAAUCGAUUGUGGGUGCAGUGGAAUAAAUGAAACAAGACACAAAAUUUACGAGGUUCCUCUACAGUCAGUGUGACUGGAGUACGUCCUCGGGGCAGCAGUGGUGCUUUCAUUAUAAUUUGAAAUAAUAGGAGUACAAAGAUAACUCUCUCUAUUAUCUCCUCUCAUCUUCCUCUAUUCUCUCUCUUCCUCUUCCUUCCUUCCUCUCUUUCUUUCCCGUGAACUCCCCUCACUUCAUUCCUCUUCUUCCUUUGUAUAAACAAAAGAAAGCACUAUUCACUUUACAAAUUUUCCACAAAUGAAUAGUGAAAAUACUGUGCAUAAAUAGUAACAAACUAUUCAUGUGGACCAUCCACGCACUAUUUACAACACUCCCCCUUGGAUGGCCACAAGUCUUCGAUUGACUCGUUAAAAUCUUGAUCUGUCUUGGAUGCUCUCCUUGAUGAGUAUCUCCCCCUGAUUUCAAAUCAUUUAGGUUGAUCGUUGAUCGUUCUGCUUUAGUCUCUUAGUAAGAAGAGUUGCUGAAAGAGGUGCUUUACUUGUUGUUAACUUUCCACAGGCUUGUUCUUGAACUAGGCUAGAGGACUUUCUGCUAGACUUGCAUCCAAAGGUCUGAAUUUACUCCUUUGAUCUGGAGCAGAUUUGAUUCAAAAGUGGUGGACACUUGAUCUUGAAUCAGACUUGUGAUUUCUUCAAGGACCUCAGAGGCUUGAUCUUGAAUAAAGUUGUACCGUGAAGAGCUUCACGUGGCAAGUGAUCUUCGACUUUGUCGGGGAUGAGUCAACACGUGUUUGUUGCGCUUGUCUCCACAUGCUGCAAUGUAUCAUUUUCACUUUCCUUACUUGCUCCCCUUGCUUAAGUAGUAUUUUCCUUGGUUUUCCCCCAUGCAUGUGUGGCAUAUUCUCCUGCAGUAUUUGCCUUAUGAUGUAGGAGUGGAAUGCAACCCUUGCAUUUGGAUGGUUCAUCACUUCUUGGUGACCGGAGACCCAGUUCUAACAACAAUUGAAGAUGACUACUCGAGAGCUAGGUAAGCAAUCGGGAAAGGUUCCAAGCAGUUUGUUCCUUACCUGGAGUUUAAGUGGAGGUUCCGACAUACUGCUUUCUUUAUCCUUGUCUUUGCAUGUAAGAACAAUGACAAAGGAAAGGACAGAGAGAUUGCAUGAUAUGAGAUAAUCUUGCUCUAGUCCCUGAAGAUAUGUGAUAAUCUUGCUCUGGUGUGACAUGUUUGAAGAGGUAUUCUCGGAAAGGAAGAAAACUGAGUAUUUCGAGAUGCUAUGUUGAAGAUGCAUUCUCGGAGAUGAGGAAGAGUUAGGUAUUCUUGCAGUGUUGCAGGUCUGCCUUGUUAUGGAGAACAGAGGUCGACAUAUAUAGAGAUUUCUCAAUAGCAAGUGGUGGUGCUGUGCUUUUACUCUUGUCAGCAACUGUGGUGUAAAUAGAACAGUAAGAUUUACGCGUUUUCAACUUUGUAAGAGAUCUUUGACAAAAUUGCACGCGACAUCUGAAAAAGCUGGGAUUACGUCUGAAAAAUGCCAACGAACUUUAUUCAGGAAAAUCUGGCUUUUGAAAUUCGGAGAGCGGUGCCUCUUCGAUCUUUGAACGAGUGGCUCUGCUGCCUCUUCUUUUACAGAGACAUCAAUUGUGUUCAAGAGUAUGCUCAGAAAGUUGCUGCCUGUAGAAAUUUCCUCUAUCUUGCACUUCUGAAAUUUUAUUUGACCUCUGUUUUUCCUUCAUCAUUUCUGAAAAAUGAUUUGCCCAUCUAACAUUUGCUUAGAUUUGAGUCUUAGGAGUGAUACAGACGAGCAGCGUCAUGAUAAUAUAUGGCGCCCGUCUUUCUUAUCUUCUAAUGGUCCUCUUACGGUUGGGGACUCUGUGAUGAAGAAUAACAUAACCGCUACUGUGGUAGCUAGGAAUCUUCUCACUCCAAGGGAUAACAAGAUUCAGAACGGUCUGAAGAGUCGACCGUUCAAGACUCCUUGGCUCUCAGUGUUCAGUGUGCUGGCUCUGUGUCCAAUAUGGGCCAACGCUUACUUGCUCAAACUCGCCAAAUUGAAUUAUUGAUGGCGGAGGUGGCAAGUCUUAAACAAGAGAUUAGAGGGCUCAAGCACGAGAAUAGGGUGUUACACGUGCUUGCAAAUAGUUACUCUACGAGCAUGAAAAGAAAGCUCGUCCAACUGCAGGAAUCCGAAAGUCGGAUUCAAAGUGAUCACCAGAGGUUCGUUGCUAGAUUCCGAAAGCAACUGAUGCCUUCCCCUUCUGGUGUUUUGCUAAGUACUGGGGUGCCACAUGAUCAAUCUCCAGUGCCUCCCCCUUCUGGGGUACUUCUGAGUACUGAGGCUUCACAUGAGCAACCUUUGUGAAAGCUCAUCCUGUUUGUUUGUUUUAACUCAUGUGUAUGUAUAUAUCUGUAAUUUCUUGGAGAUAUUAAUAAAUAAGCUUUAUUUCAUUCAAUGUAUUGUGCCAAAUACAAUAAAGCAUAUACUUCACUAAGAUGUGGUACUUCUGGACCAAAUAUUAAUUUAUCUUUACCCUCAUGAAGAUAAAUGAUUAUUCUUAGUGUCUUCAUCAUAUGAGUAUUCAACUCAUAAUCUUCAAUCCAUAUGGUUCUUUUAAUAUCAUAAAUAUCAUGGAUAAGAUUCGUGUUGGUAGAUUGUUCGAUCUGCAGCUCGAGACAAUAAUUCCUUCAACACUUUAUAAUUUUUUCUAGACUCUUCAGGAGUCCCAAUUUAAUAUCAUCAACUCUUCAAGAGUUCUAAUUUUAAUGUCAUUGACUCUUGCAAGAGAUUUUAGUAUGUUGCAACAAUAUUAUAAUGAUAGUACUCACUAAGGCAAUUUUAUAUCAUUCAUUGGUAUUGAGUACAUAUUUUAUGUUUUACCCUUCAGGGGCUUACUUCAAGCAGUUUGAAUCCUUUAGGGAUUUUCUACACUUCAUGACACAUUUUCCUUUGGAAUUUAUACAGAGCAAUUUGCUCCCAUGUAUACUUGAGGGAUUUACUUAUGGAGAUAUGAUGUGAGCGACUCACAACCCUUCGUAUAUAAUUCUCCAUUUAUAUGAACUCGUUUACAAGAGUUCAAUUAGUAAUCUUGUGUCAUAUCAUGUGAGUGUAUUUCACUGUAUUACAAAUGCCCAUAUGUAACCUCCUUGGUUUAACAUCUUUUGGCUAUUUGUAUUUUAUUCAAAUAUAUAGGUCCAUUUUUCCACGUUCUUACAACAUUGUAAUGGAAUUGCCUUUCUCCAUUUUUGGCCAAUAAUUUUCCUUUUGUCGACAAACAAAAGAACGUGACUCAAUAUUAACACAGCUCAUUGAUGAAUUUAGUAGCUACUUGUAAAAACCAAAAUUAUCAUUGGUUAUCAUCAAUCCGUGAUCCCAUAUUCUCAUAUGCAUGCGCAUGCAUAAAAGCUUUUUUUUAUUUCUUUUGGAUAUCCAUUGCCUCUUCAAGGGCAUUAUACUAUCUCUUCCAGGAUAAUCGUAAUUUAGAGAAUUCGGAUCAUAACCUCAUUUUGAGCGUUAUAGAGCUUGGAUUUUAAUCUCCACUUCUAGAAGUUGAGUCAUUGGAACCUAUACGUCUAUCAUGCUACAUGCAAGAGACAUCAAUAUUCCCAUGUCUGCGGAUUGUCCUUUCUAGAACGUAUUAUCCAUGCAGCGACUGUCAAGCUUCUGGCAUGCAACAAUUAUGCUUCAGGAAUGCAAUAGUUCAGUAGUGCCAUAUUCCUUUUUUUUUUUUCGAAUGACUGAACCUUUUGAGUCUAAAGGUCUGCCACGCUUCAGACGUGCAACAGAUAAAUCAUUUACUGCCUCAUUAUAUUGUCCAAUGAGGACAUCAAUUCUUGUAGGCACAUUUGCAGUAAGUAUAUGUGAUUUCAUCACUUUCGUUGCAUCAUUCAAUUAUUCCAAUUUCAUUUUCUCAUUGUUUGUUUCGUGAAUCAAAAUAAGACAAAUUAUCUUCGUUCUUCUGGAACGGUCUUUUCUCAUCAUUCUUCUGGAAUGAUAUUUUCUCAUCGUUCUUCUGGAACGAUGUUAUUUUCUCCCCCUAAUGGCAGGAAAACUGUCUUAUCAAAAUCAUAGUCCGCAAAUCAUGCGGUAGACAUAUCCCCAGUCAAGGGUUCCAAAUAUUGAAUGAUAGAUGGUGUUCAACAUCAAUGCCUAAUCUACGAUGAUGCCUCAUUUCAGUAUGUUGUGGCAGUCUUACAGGCACAUAGAUAACACAACCAAAAACUCGUAAAUGUAUAAUGUUUGGCUAGUUCCCAAACACGAGUUGUACUGAGCAAUAUUGAUGGUUGGAAACUGGUCUCAUCCGAACUUAAUAAUGCGUCAUGUAAAAUGACAUGUCCCCAUGUAGAAAACUGGUAAUUUCGUUUUCAUGAGCAGAGCGCGGGUAAUCAAUUUCAUCCGCUUAAUAAAUGCUUCUGCUAAACCAUUUUAAGUAUGGACAUAAGGAACUUCUGGUCCUUAUUAAAUAGUCUAUGGACUGAGACUUUUAUGACCUUUAUUAUAAUUAAGUUGAGGCACUGUGGCACUUCAAACUUAAGGUACUCAUCAAGGAAUUUCAUGUCCUGAUCUUCAUGAUCAAGGGACUUCAUGCCUGAUCUUUUUGUAUGAUGGAACUUCGGGUCCAAUCAUUUUAUAUGAUGAGGAUCAAGAAACUGCAGGUUCUGAUCUGAUCAAGGAACUUUGGGUCUUAUAUAUACUCAUUGUAACAAAAGAUAAGUACAAUAAAUAAAUUAAAGCAAUAGGCGGUAAUUCCAGCCAUAGUAAAUAAAUUGAACAAUAAAUAAAUUAAAGCUUGUGACAAGGGCUUUAAUUCAGCACCAUUCACAUAAAUCAAAACUUAAAGCAGUAGGCGGUAAAACCGUCCAUGAUAAAUAAAUUGUUUUAAAGUAAAUAGAACUUGUGACAUGGGCUUUAAACCAACACCAUGCACAUAAAUAUCAAAGCUUUAAAGCAAAGGGUAAUAAUUCUACCCACUGUAAAUAAAUUGCUUUAAAUAAAUAGAACUUGUGAAAGUGUUUUAAGCCAACACCAUUCACAUAAAUAAAUCAAAACUUAAAGCAGUAGGCGGUAAAACCGUCCAUGAUAAAUAAAUUGUUUUAAAGUAAAUAGAACUUGUGACAUGGGCUUUAAACCAACACCCAUGCACAUAAAUAUCAAAGCUUUAAAGCAAAGGGUAAUAAUUCUACCCACUGUAAAUAAAUUGCUUUAAAUAAAUAGAACUUGUGAAAGUGUUUUAAGCCAACACCAUUCACAUAAAUAAAUCAAAACUUAAAGCAGUAGGCGGUAAAACCGUCCAUGAUAAAUAAAUUGUUUUAAAGUAAAUAGAACUUGUGACAUGGGCUUUAAACCAACACCAUGCACAUAAAUAUCAAAGCUUUAAAGCAAAGGGUAAUAAUUCUACCCACUAUAAAUAAAUUGCUUUAAAUAAAUAGAACUUGUGAAAGUGUUUUAAGCCAACACCAUUCACAUAAAUAAAUAUAUACAUAUUUUCUUCUUUCUUUUCAGAUGGUGUAACACCAUCCAAAAACCUUUACCUUUAUUUUAUUUUAUUAUUUUCUUAUUCAAUCACAUGCUACAACAUUCCAACAACUUUUGUUUUUAUUUCUUUUAUUUUACAUGGUGCAACGCACCUUUCUAAAUCAUUGGCCCCAUUUCCCCUUUUCUUUGUCUAUCUCUACCAGUCUCGAAACCUAGUACCAGCUGGGUUGUUGUGGGAGUUACACAAAACCAAUUCAAUCCAAAAAGGCUACCAGAGACUGGCGUUGUUCUUGCAUGGCCCAAAGAACAUGGCAUCGCAAAGCAAGAACCUCUCCAUAGAGACAUAGAUGACAGUGAGGUUGACGAAGGCAUAAGAGAGGGAGGCCUGUGUGGGGUUAGUCAUGCCAUCACCAUCUCAGACAACUGAGGAUUCAUGGAGGUCCUCGAGAUCCAUUGACACGAUCUGGGUUUCCAAAUCUAAUGAGAUUCUUCUGGAUCUCUGGAAACCAGUUGUCAGGUACGAGUUUUCUUAUCUCGUGACGACUUUAGGUCGUUGGAAAUUUCAAUUCGCACCGGAAUUCGGUGGGGCGCUUCUGGCGCGGUGGGAGAAACAAAAAAUGGACAUACCUUUGCUUGUUUUGCUGCACCUUUGUUUGUCUGUAAGAUCUCUCCAUCUUUCUUGUCCACGAGAGAAAAAUAGAUUGCAGGUCUAGCAGGGAUAAGGAUUAGCACAUCAAUAGUUAGAGUGAUAAAAGAAAAAGUGAUAAAAGAAAGGUUGAUGGAUUUUUGUGACAAGAUGAUCUUCCCUGUUUGACAUGUCUGGCUUGCCGUCUCUACUCUGUGAGAUUUUAGCUGACCGAGGUGAGAGGUAGAUAAUGCUUCACCAGAUUUAUGAUAUUGUGCUUUCCACUGACAUGAGAGAUUCUCGUGCUGAUAACGUGUUGUAAAAUCGACUGUGGGUGCAGUGGAAUAAAUGAAACAAGACACAAAAUUUACGAGAUUCCUCUACAGUCAGUGUGACUGGAGUACGUCCUCGGGGCAGCAGUGGUGCUUUCAUUAUAAUUUGAAAUAAUAGGAGUACAAAGAUAACUCUCUCUAUUAUCUCCUCUCAUCUUCCUCUAUUCUCUCUCUUCCUCUUCCUUCCUUCCUCUCUUUCUUUCCCGUGAACUCCCCUCACUUCAUUCCUCUUCUUCCUUUAUAUAAACAAAAGAAAGCACUAUUCACUUUACAAAUUUUCCACAAAUGAAUAGUGAAAAUACUGUGCAUAAAUAGUAACAAACUAUUCAUGUGGACCAUCCACGCACUAUUUACAAC